ACACAUUAAACCAUAACUGCUGGAACCAUGCUGGAAAUGACCCAGAACAGUAUGGUUGGGCAUGAUAGUGUUGAAAAGAACAGAUUUGACCCAGAACAGUAUGGUUGGGGUCAGCAUGAUAGUGUUGAAAAGAACAGAUUUGACCCAGAACAGUAUGGUUGGGCAUGAUAGUGUUGAAAAGAACAGAUUUGACCCAGAACAGUAUGGUUGGGGUCAGCAUGAUAGUGUUGAAAAGAACAGAUUUGACCCAGAACAGUAUGGUUGGGGUCAGCAUGAUAGUGUUGAAAAGAACAGAUUUGACCCAGAACAGUAUGGUUGGGGUCAGCAUGAUAGUGUUGAAAAGAACAGAUUUGACCCAGAACAGUAUGGUUGGGGUUAGCUUUGAAGAUGUUUACGUGAUCUAGGCUAUGUUCCAAAUGCUGUCCCACAUCAACCCAGCCUACCAUCUUUGUAGUAUAAAAAGGGGCAGGAGUAAACCUAGUACUACUGUCUCGUAGUCUCUAUCUCCUCAAAAAACCUGACACUUCUAUCCAAGGGAACCCCACAUCUGUUUGUCUGGCCAACUCUUAUGCCAAAAAAAAAAAAAAAAUCAUAGUCAAAUCACUGUUUGGCAUGACAAUUACCAUAGGAGUUGGCCAGACAGCAGUAGUAGGUCUGGGACCAGGCUAUGUGAUGUCCAUUCAUCCAUUCAAACUAGUGCAUGGCUUUUAGAGACCUUCCUACUGGCUUUUCCUACAUAGAAGGUAAUGAUAAAAAAAAAGAUUUGACUCAUUCAUAAAAUGAUAUGACUCGUUCGCCCACAAGUACAAAGACAUGUAUGGCACACCAAUGUGAAUGUAAAAAGCCCACAGUCUUCACCCCUGUAAAGGACACAGUGGAGCAACACAACAGGGUUGUCUUCAUUAGGGCACACGGCAGAAAACGGUGUUCAAAACAUUUUGUAACGGGAAAAAAAACGAAAAUGAACGUUUCUUUUUUGUUGUUGACAAAUCCAGGUAGGCCCUUCCGUGUUGCAGUCCAUUUUCUUCCGUUUGAUGCCUAAUGAACCCAAUCCAGGCCUCCACACACAUUGUUGCAGGAUGGAAGACCAUUCAAUCCAGAUUCUAGCUCUAUACAUAGUGUUAGUGUUAGUUUGAAAGUGCCACCAUCUUGGAAUAACUCCUCCCCCUGCUGUCUGUACUACAGACCCAAACUAGUCAACACCAGCUAUCAUUGGCAAGUUAUCGGUUGUGAUCAAUUACGUAACAGACAAUUUAGUACAGACCUUUUGUCAAAUCAACCGUAGUCAUAUUUAAAAAUUAAAAAUAAAAAUCAUGACUCCAUGCCCACAUUGAAAAUGAACAGUUUGAUAUCAAUUGUACUCAAUGUUUUUUUUUUUUUUUGUUCAUCCAUUCUGGAAUUGUUUUUGUAUUUAUUUUCCACACUCACAUAAACCUAGCAAUUUGAAACUAUUAAUGCACUCCGUACUAAAGUAAGUGUAUGUCCGAAAUGGCACCCUAAACCCUAUAUAGUGCACUACUUUUGACCAGGGUGCAUAGGGCUAAAUAGUGAAUAGGGUGCCAUUUUGAAUGAUAAAAUGUCUCUUAAAAAAAUAAAAAAUAAAACGCAUCACUGACCUAAUAUAACAGGCAGAAUCAUCAGCUUUCCGUUAGUGGUUAUUUGUUCUAUUCUUCUGCAUCAAAACAUAUCAAGAAAAAUAAGAAGUGUGUAAAAACUACAAAUUAAAGUUCCCUUUCCUUUCUUUCCCCUGAUUCUUCUAUCCCGAAUCAUUACAUCGUGACGUCAUCAGAACAUGUCUUUACACCGUGAUGUCAUCGGAACAAGUCGUUACAUCGUGAUGUCAUCGUGACGUGAUCGGAACAAGUCUUUACAUCGUGAUGUCAUCAGAACAAGCCGUUACAUCGUGAUGUCAUCGUGACGUGAUCAGAACAAGUCGUUACAUCGUGAUGUCAUCGUGACGUGAUCAGAACAAGUCGUUACAUCGUGAUGUCAUCGUGACGUCAUCGGAACAAGUCUUUACA
rnacentral:lncRNA from 13 species